CAUGCAAGUCGAACGGUAACAGGAAUUAGCUUGCUAAUUUGCUGACGAGUGGCGCACGGGUGCGUAACGCGUAUACAAUCUACCUUUUGCUGAGGGAUAGCCCAGAGAAAUUUGGAUUAAUACCUCAUGGUAUUAUUGAUAGGCAUCUAUUAAUAAUUAAAGGUUACGGCAAAAGAUGAGUAUGCGUCCCAUUAGCUAGUUGGCGAGGUAACGGCUCACCAAGGCAACGAUGGGUAGGGGUCCUGAGAGGGAGAUCCCCCACACUGGUACUGAGACACGGACCAGACUCCUACGGGAGGCAGCAGUGAGGAAUAUUGGACAAUGGCGAGAGCCUGAUCCAGCCAUGCCGCGUGCAGGAAGACUGCCCUAUGGGUUGUAAACUGCUUUUAUACAGGAAGAAUAAGCCUUACGUGUAAGGUGAUGACGGUACUGUAAGAAUAAGGACCGGCUAACUCCGUGCCAGCAGCCGCGGUAAUACGGAGGGUCCGAGCGUUAUCCGGAAUUAUUGGGUUUAAAGGGUCCGUAGGCGGAUGAUUAAGUCAGGGGUGAAAGUUUGCAGCUCAACUGUAAAAUUGCCUUUGAUACUGGUUAUCUUGAGUUGUAUUGAAGUAGGCGGAAUAUGUAGUGUAGCGGUGAAAUGCAUAGAUAUUACAUAGAACACCAAUUGCGAAGGCAGCUUACUAAGUACUAACUGACGCUGAUGGACGAAAGCGUGGGUAGCGAACAGGAUUAGAUACCCUGGUAGUCCACGCCGUAAACGAUGGAUACUAGCUGUUCGGG
rnacentral:rRNA from 1 species